UACAGAGGUCCCGAGCGUUGAUCGGAUUCACUGGGCGUAAAGGGUGCGUAGGCGGUUGGGUAAGUCUGAUGUGAAGUCUCCGGGCUCAACCCGGAAAUGGCAUUGGAUACUAUUCGGCUAGAGGUUUGGAGGGGGGACUGGAAUUCUCGGUGUAGCAGUGAAAUGCGUAGAUAUCGAGAGGAACACCAGUGGCGAAGGCGAGUCCCUGGACAACACCUGACACUGAGGCACGAAAGCUAGGGGAGCAAACAGG
rnacentral:rRNA from 1 species